rnacentral:rRNA from 1 species
UGGGGAAUUUUGGACAAUGGGCGAAAGCCUGAUCCAGCAAUGCCGCGUGUGUGAAGAAGGCCUUCGGGUUGUAAAGCACUUUUGUCCGGAAAGAAAUCCUUGGCUCUAAUACAGUCGGGGGAUGACGGUACCGGAAGAAUAAGCACCGGCUAACUACGUGCCAGCAGCCGCGGUAAUACGUAGGGUGCAAGCGUUAAUCGGAAUUACUGGGCGUAAAGCGUGCGCAGGCGGUUUGCUAAGACCGAUGUGAAAUCCCGGGCUCAACCUGGGAACUGCAUUGGUGACUGGCAGGCUAGAGUAUGGCAGAGGGGGGUAGAAUUCCACGUGUAGCAGUGAAAUGCGUAGAGAUGUGGAGGAAUACCGAUGGCGAAGGCAGCCCCCUGGGCCAAUACUGACGCUCAUGCACGAAAGCGUGGGGAGCAAACAGGAUUAGAUACCCUGGUAGUCCACGCCCUAAACGAUGUCAACUAGUUGUCGGGGAUUCAUUUCCUUAGUAACGUAGCUAACGCGUGAAGUUGACCGCCUGGGGAGUACGGUCGCAAGAUU